rnacentral:rRNA from 1 species
CUAGCCGUAAACGAUGGAUACUAGGUGUAAGAGGUAUCGACCCCUCUUGUGCCGUAGCUAACGCAUUAAGUAUCCCGCCUGGGGAGUACGGCCGCAAGGUUGAAACUCAAAGGAAUUGACGGGGGCCCGCACAAGCGGUGGAGCAUGUGGCUUAAUUCGUCACUAACCGAAGAACCUUACCAGGGUUUGACAUCUGUGGAAUCCGGAUGAAAGUCUGGAGUGCCUCGUAAGAGGAGCCGCAAGACAGGUGU